rnacentral:rRNA from 1 species
GGAGGAUCCAAGCGUUAUCCGGAAUCAUUGGGUUUAAAGGGUCCGUAGGCGGUUUAGUAAGUCAGUGGUGAAAGCCCAUCGCUCAACGGUGGAACGGCCAUUGAUACUGCUGAACUUGAAUUAUUAGGAAGUAACUAGAAUAUGUAGUGUAGCGGUGAAAUGCUUAGAGAUUACAUGGAAUACCAAUUGCGAAGGCAGGUUACUACUAAUGGAUUGACGCUGAUGGACGAAAGCGUGGGUAGCGAACAGGAUUAGAUACCCUGGUAGUCCACGCCGUAAACGAUGGAUACUAGCUGUUGGGAGCAAUCUCAGUGGCUAAGCGAAAGUGAUAAGUAUCCCACCUGGGGAGUACGUUCGCAAGAAUG